rnacentral:tRNA from 1 species
GCGGUCGUGGCGGAAUUGGCAGACGCUCAGGACUAAGGAUCCUGUAUCGCAAGAUGUGGAGGUUCAAGCCCUCUCGACCGCACCA